rnacentral:rRNA from 1 species
UGACACAGGGAGGUAGUGACAAGAAAUAACAAUACGGGGCUUAAAGUCUUGUAAUUGGAAUGAUGGGAAUUUAAACCUCUUCCAGAGUAUCAAUUGGAGGGCAAGUCUGGUGCCAGCAGCCGCGGUAAUUCCAGCUCCAAUAGCGUAUAUUAAAAUUGUUGCAGUUAAAAAGCUCGUAGUUGAAUUUCUGCUGCAUUGCUGAGUCCCUCCGGGGUCUUGGCACGUGGCUUUUUUCGGACGGUU